GGAUGCGAUCAUAUCAGCACUAACGCACCGGAUCACAUCAAAACUCCGCAGUUAAGCGUGCUUGGGUAAGAGUAGUAUUUGGAUGGGUGACCCUCUGGGAAUUCCUUGUGUUGCAUCCC